rnacentral:lncRNA from 1 species
CUCCGACGAAGUCAAGUGUUACAUAGUCAUGUUUGGAAGUUGGUACUACCAUAUGACCAACGAUGUAUAUGACAAAAGCAAUUUUGAAACAUUCUUUCUCAAACUGAGUCGAUUCCGCCGUGAGUGGUUUGGACAAGAACAACUCAGCUGUUUUCAGGCUGUGAGCCCCUUUCUCUGAUAUUUCAAGUGCUGCUUUCUUAUAAUGCGAGAAAGAUGGGGACAUGUCUUCGAUUUCUGCGGCAACGACUUUACCAUCCGCGAAACCAAAACGAUUUACAAAAAGAAAGGAAAAGAAAAACAGGAAUAAGGGCAAGGCCCAGGAGGUGUCACAGUUACUCCAAAAAAAACCUUCCUAAUGAGGUUGAAGUGGGCUACACUUUGAUCAAGCACUACAGUCGGGGAGGAUUUGAUGUUUUAAAAAAUUCUCUGAUUUAUUGAACUCUUUUACGGUACCUUUAUACUGCCCGGGAAAGGUGAGCGGUAUAUACUUAAUCUGACCGUCCAUUUUCCAGGACAUUACCGCUAUUUGCAUUUAAUUAUCAAUAUAUGUUUACGUAAAAGUAAUUUAUCCAGG